rnacentral:sRNA from 1 species
UUAUAGCCGAAUUCCGACUACUGCGGGAC